UAAGGUGCGUUCCAUUCGACAGGGUCCCUGCGGAGUGUUCACUGCUCCCUACUCCCUGAGCACGGUAUAUCAGUUGAAGUGGACUUCACGGACAAUAACCGCUCAUUUGGAACGGCCUGCAAACGUCAUCAAAGAAAGUCAACGACGGGGUCGCGCAGAUUGAUAUAACAUAAAUAUAUAUAGGACUACAUUCAUAUUUUAAUUUUUAUUUACUAUCACAUUUCAAAUAUGUACACUAUACAAUAAAAAAAACAUUGAGUACUACGUAAUGAAAAACGUAUGUUUAUUAUACACUUUAAUUGACUAUUGCUGCUAUUACUUGACUAUUAACAGAAUUGAAGCCCUGCUGUAACUGUCAUGCAAAUAUGAAAGUAAACUUUAAACUUUGGUUAACUAUGUGUAUAUAUGUGUUUUUAAACGCUUGUCAUAUAAUUGCAUAGCGGUCUGACCGUUCCGACGGGUGAUCACGUGAUGCGCGCAAUGACAGUUGGGUGAUUAUCGCUCUCCACUUCCUGUGAAGUGAUGUAUCGAUGUUCCCUGAUUCCCUAUGCCGUGCGCAGUGCCCUUCGAACUGAACAUGUUCGCUCCCUUCGGAUUGGAAUCUCACUUAAGAUGGCGGAAUACCCUGUGAAGUCCACUUCGCAGUCCACUUACGGUCGAAUGGAACGCACCUAUAGAUAUCAUAUAGAAGACUAGAUGCCCUAUUGGCUGCUGGGGACUGAGAAAUACGGCGGCCAUCUUAAACCGGUCGCUCUCCUAGUUUCGUUGCAUGGCAGCAGAUAAGAUGUCAGAGCACUGUGGAGCAUUUUCCUGUUCUAAUCGGCGGACGAUCGCAAAUAGAGCCCGGAGGUUUAUUUUCACAAGUACUUUUUAACAUCGCGGUACUAUUGGUUGUAUUUUGUGAAUAGAAUAUUACCAGAAAAUUGAGAAAGAGCCAGCUUAUUGAUUUUACUGUACUGAAAUCGUAGCCAGCCAACGUUCGCUAGGCUAUGUUUACUGCACCAGCCGCUGUUCACCCUGCAAGGAGAGUGGGGUGCUGUGAGCUGCGUGAUCCGCCGAGCUUUAAAAAGCUGAGAUGUCAACAGGAACAGAGGAUGUUUUCCUUCGUAGGGAGGACAUUGAGGAGACUCGGUUUGGAAUCGACAACUAUCAGUCUGACUCGUUGUCACUGGUUGUGUCUGUGUUUUUAAAGAUAAGGCUCCACCAUGUUGCCAAACUCACCUCUCUUGAACUACAGAAAGGGAGCACGGGAAAAAAGCUCUGGAAACCGUCCUCUUUCAGGGGUGUGUGUGUGUGUGUGUGUGUGUGUGCGUGCGUGCGUGCCUGCGCGCGCGCGUGUGUGUGUGGGGGGGUUACAAAUCAUUUUAAAUUGUUUCUUCACCAUAUUAAAAAGUCUUAUUUUAUUGCAACUAUCUGUUUCUGCAUCUUUGUCAUAUUUAUAGUGUGUGAUUUAUAAAAUAUCUUAUGUCCUACACCA